rnacentral:rRNA from 1 species
CUCGGAUCAGACGUGAUUACCCGCUGAACUUAAGCAUAUCACUAAGCGGAGGAAAAGAAACUAACCAGGAUUCCCCCAGUAACGGCGAGUGAACGGGGAUUAGCCCAGCACCGAAGCCUGUGACCAAUUGGUUACUAGGCAAUGUGGUGUUAGUCAUCUGCUGC